GUGCAUCUGUUGACGGACCUGGAGCAGCUAUCACCUGCUUCAAAGCUUUCCACCACAGAUACAAAGUCAGACUUCCUCCCCUCUUUCUGUCUGUCUGCUGGUGGUUGCCAAGAUUGAAGCGGGGAAUACAGAA
rnacentral:snoRNA from 1 species